rnacentral:rRNA from 1 species
AAAUUGAAGAGUUUGAUCAUGGCUCAGAUUGAACGCUGGCGGCAGGCCUAACACAUGCAAGUCGAACGGUAACAGGAAGCAGCUUGCUGUUUCGCUGACGAGUGGCGGACGGGUGAGUAAUGUCUGGGAAACUGCCUGAUGGAGGGGGAUAACUACUGGAAACGGUAGCUAAUACCGCAUAACGUCGCAAGACCAAAGAGGGGGACCUUAGGGCCUCUUGCCAUCGGAUGUGCCCAGAUGGGAUUAGCUUGUUGGUGGGGUAACGGCUCACCAAGGCGACGAUCCCUAGCUGGUCUGAGAGGAUGACCAGCCACACUGGAACUGAGACACGGUCCAGACUCCUACGGGAGGCAGCAGUGGGGAAUAUUGCACAAUGGGCGCAAGCCUGAUGCAGCCAUGCCGCGUGUAUGAAGAAGGCCUUCGGGUUGUAAAGUACUUUCAGCGGGGAGGAAGGGAGUAAAGUUAAUACCUUU